GGAGGCAAGAGGCCUCUGAGUUAGAAACCAGCCUAGGUUACACCAGGAGGACCGGGCCCUCCUGAGCUAGCUAAGACAGAAAAAUGAAAGGUCCACAUGCUGACUGGCUUGUCCACACCUUGCUUAGGCAGUAGCAGCUUCCUAAAGAAAGUCAGCAAAAGGUAGAAUCCAUGUAGCCAAAGUCGACCGGGGGUCAGACAGCCCUGUAUCACACCUUUAUCCCAAGUCUCUCUCUCCUUCAAAACAUCAGUCAAAUGAGACGAUGCAGCUUGGAUGCUCGUGGAGAAGUUCCACACAGUUGUAGUUUUAUAACUGUUGUGGGACCGAAGGCUGGUAAGCAUCAGAGAGGAGCUACGGGUUUAGGGAGCUAGCACACAUGUUGUGGGGGAUGGGCUUGGAGAUCGUGACGUGACCACAGCCUAGGGGUUUGCAUAACACUGCACUUAAAAAUAAAGAAACGUCAGUCACCUAUACAAAUAAUCAUAUAUUGGUUUAAGAAAAUUUCCCAGACUCCCCAGCAGCCUAGUAAACUAGGUGCUUUUAUUUUUCCAUCCUCUGCGACUAUCCUUGCCCACAGCACCGCCCCCCUCCCCACCCCCAAGUCACAGAGUUCUGACCACACAUAGCAGGGACGUAGCUCACAUCUUCCCAUUGCUCAUAGAUUUCUAUCGCCGCGCUACGUCACCUUCAUAAUGACUCACUUUACUGUCCCUAACCCAUAGAAGAAAUAGGUUGAGAUUCAUUUAACCCCCGACAUGUCUGUGGCUGCCAGCUUCUGCAUCGUGAACACCGUCGUCCCGCCACCACAAACAUCCUCACACGCAACCCUGUGAUAUCUAUGACAUCACUUCCUGGGGCUCCAAUUCUAGAAGCGUCAUUAACUGUUCAUCCCAUGAAGCACGCUGCUCUCCCAGAGACCACUCCAGCAUUCCACGCUACCACACCCUUGAAAGUUGGAAGGCUGAGUAACUCUUGGCCAAGGAAGGAAAAGGCAAUCAAUUUCAGUAAGGGUGCGUGGACCGGUAGAAAAGGGAUAAUCCACAAGGUAGUCCCAAGGUUCUACUAAGACCUAAUGGACGGAUGACUCAUGAUUACCUUGCCUUUCAACUGACAACGGACAGUUGCUUGCAUUCAAAGCACCAUGAGACGGAUUUUCUGAGUGGAAACCCCGAGGGGAAAUCCAAAGUCUGAUCUUUUUCCUUCUACCCAAAAGCACCUCUCCUAGACCCAUGCCACACCUCCUCCAUAUGCACUUAACGAGCGACUGGAGAAUUACAUUCUAGGUCUCUCAGAAGCCUGCUGUGAAAAUUCUGACUGCGGAGGGAUGCUACUCAAGAAAGGAGCCUCGUGCUUCAAAACGAAAGCAAAUGAAAAGUUGCCUCUGACAUUUACAAGAGACUGAAUAAAAAAUCCAUUGAGAGCGUAGAGCUUUUCCCAUGACCCCCAACCCUAUUGGGACAGAACACAGACAUCAUAGCCACAGACUAGAAGCCAGCAUUUCCUGCUUCACCCAUCCUCAUGCUGUGGAGGAAGUCCCUUGCAGGCUGGGAUGUUGGCAUGUAAAUUCCUAGAACUUUUAAAACUUGUAAUAAUUUGGAGUCACCUAGGAGACACACUUCUGAGAAUAUGGAUGAUGGAAUUCCCAGAGAGACUUAACUAGGGAGCGUCCCACCCUUAUCCCCGAACUUGGGCAGUACUGUACCCACACAGCCUUCACAUUCUUCCUGUUAUGAUUCGCCUGCCAUGAUGAGCUGAACCAAGAAACUCCAUGCCUUCAAAAUAAACCCUGCUUCUUUUGAGUUACUUCUUGCCUGACCUGUGGUCCCCAGUAACAAGAAAAGUAACUAUUUAGACCACUGAUA